rnacentral:misc_RNA from 1 species
GUAGGUGAACCUGCGGAAGGAUCAUUAUUGAAUGAACAUGGAGUCGGUUGUCGCUGGCCCCUUCACUGGGGCAUGUGCACGCCUUCUCUAUUCAUCCACACACACCUGUGAACUUGUGAGACGGAUAGUAGUCCCCUCGGGGGUGAGCUCCGUCUGCUAUACAUAAACUCCAGUAAAUAAAUUUGAAUGUCAUCUGAUGUAACGCAUCUAUAAACUAAGUUUCAACAACGGAUCUCUUGGCUCUCGCAUC